GGGGAAUUUUGGACAAUGGGCGCAAGCCUGAUCCAGCAAUGCCGCGUGCAGGAUGAAGGCCUUCGGGUUGUAAACUGCUUUUGUACGGAACGAAAAGCCUCUCUCUAAUACAGGGGGGUGAUGACGGUACCGUAAGAAUAAGCACCGGCUAACUACGUGCCAGCAGCCGCGGUAAUACGUAGGGGGCGAGCGUUGUCCGGAAUUAUUGGGCGUAAAGGGUGCGUAGGCGGCUGAACAAGUCAGAUGUGAAAGGUUAAGGCUUAACUUUAAUAAGCAUAUGAAACUGUUCAGCUUGAGUUAAGGAGAGGGGAGUGGAAUUCCUAGUGUAGCGGUGAAAUGCGUAGAUAUUAGGAGGAAUACCAGUGGCGAAGGCGACUCUCUGGACUUAAACUGACGCUGAGGCACGAAAGCGUGGGGAGCAAACA
rnacentral:rRNA from 1 species